rnacentral:rRNA from 1 species
CAGUCGUACCUUCGGGUAAUCAGCCUUUCGGGUGCGAUUCUGUGGAGUUUGAGGAGCUUAACACCUUCAUGCUUUUGCAUAUUCGUGCUCUUGGGUGUACUUGCCCGUGUGGUUGGUUAACAUCAAUCUCGGGCACCAUAAAAUGGCUGGAGGAAUGUAGCUUCGAUCUUGUAUUGAAGUGUUAAAGCCUUCGGUAGAUGUGACGAUUGGGAUUGAGGAUUGCAACGGAUACCCUUCGGGGCUACUCGUCUGAUC